rnacentral:rRNA from 1 species
GACGAACGCUGGCGGCGUGCUUAACACAUGCAAGUCGAACGGAAAGGCCCUGCUUUUGUGGGGUGCUCGAGUGGCGAACGGGUGAGUAACACGUGAGUAACCUGCCCUUGACUUUGGGAUAACUUCAGGAAACUGGGGCUAAUACCGGAUAGGAGCACCUGCUGCAUGGUGGGGGUUGGAAAGUUUCGGCGGUUGGGGAUGGACUCGCGGCUUAUCAGCUUGUUGGUGGGGUAGUGGCUUACCAAGGCUUUGACGGGUAGCCGGCCUGAGAGGGUGACCGGCCACAUUGGGACUGAGAUACGGCCCAGACUCAUACGGGAGGAAGCAGUGGGGAAUAUUGCACAAUGGGCGGAAGCCUGAUGCAGCAACGCCGCGUGGGGGAUCACGGCCUUCGGGUUGUAAACCGCUUUCGCCUGUGACGAAGCGUGAGUGACGGUAAUGGGUAAAGAAGCAACGGCUAACUACGUG